AUCCGACAAUUCUUUUGGGAAAGCAAAGAAGGGAAGCGUAAGCAUCAUUGGGUCUCCUCGAAAACAAUGACACAACCAAACAAGUAUGGAGGACUUGGUUUUAGAGAUCUUGAGCUCUUCAACCUAGAAUUAUUAGCACGGUAGACUCAGCAGCUGUUGAUGAAGCCUGCCUCUCUAUGUGCAAAAUUACUCAAGGCAAUUUAUUUUCUGGAGGGCAACAUCUUGGAUGUCACGGUGGGUUCUCACCCUUCGCAGGUGAGGCGGUCGUUGAUUGAGCGGAGGGACGUGCUAGCUCAAGGCCUCAUUCGAAGGAUAGGAGAUGGAAGUUCCACGCACAUAUGGUCACAUAAUUGGAUUCCCAGGGACACUGCAAUGGAACCAAUCGGCUGCUUGAGGUGA
rnacentral:rRNA from 1 species